UACAGCAGCUCUUUAUACACUGUAUACAGCAGCUGAUACACUGAAGCUCAGCGGGUGUGAGCCCUGUCAGUACCUGGAUGGGAGACCUCCUGGGAAAAACUAAGGUUGCUGCUGGAA
rnacentral:rRNA from 1 species